GAUGAACGCUGGCGGCGUGCCUAAUACAUGCAAGUCGAGCGAACAGACGAGGAGCUUGCUCCUCUGACGUUAACGGCGGACGGGUGAGUAACACGUGGAUAACCUACCUAUAAGACUGGGAUAACCUCGGGAAACCGGAGCUAAUACGGGAUAAUAUAUUGAACCGCAUGGUUCAAUAGUAAAAGAAGGCUCUGCUGUCACUUAUAGAUGGAUCCGCGCCGCAUUAGCUAGUUGGUAAGGUAACGGCUUACCAAUGCAACUAUGCGUAGCCGACCUGAGAGGGUGAGCGGCCACACUGGAACUGAGACGCGGUCCAGACUCCUACGGGAGGCAGCAGUAGGGAAUCUUCCGCAAUGGGCGAAAGCCUGACGGAGCAACGCCGCGUGAGUGAUGAAGGUCUUCGGAUCGUAAAACUCUGUUAUUAGGGAAGAACAAAUGUGUAAGUAACUAUGCACGGCUUGACGGUACCUAAUCAGAAAGCCACGGCUAACUACGUG
rnacentral:rRNA from 1 species